rfam:Bacillus sp. OV166 genome assembly, contig: Ga0115450_11
UAAGCCUUUAAAACAGUCCCGAGAGGCUGAGAAGGAAACGGUUAAGAUAAUGGGCAAAUUAUGCCCAUAUCUAUAAAUUAACUUGUUAUCCUCUCACCAGAAUUGGGUGAGAGGUUUUUUAUU